CAAGCAGAACAAUACGGAUAUAAAAGGAGUGCUAUUAUGAACCUGUGGAGGAAGAUUUCUGAAAAUAUUAAGAAAACAAUUCAAAGUGUAGAUCAACAAUCAAACAAGUCCUACAAUAUCCAGGUGAACCCCAUUAUUUUAAAAUUCAAGAAAAAAGUUGAAAAAUAUACAGGCACUAGAUUAUUGUUUAAAGGAGAAACACCUUUUUCAACAUACUGCGAAAUGAUAAAGAAAAAAUGGACCGAUGGAAAUUACCUGGAGUGUACCAAAUACCUAUAGAAGAUAAUACAAUAAACCAGCAAGUUAAAUAUAUAGGGUACACAUUGCGGUCGCUCACCAAAAGGAAAGAGA
rnacentral:lncRNA from 1 species